rnacentral:rRNA from 1 species
UACGAAGGGGGCUAGCGUUGCUCGGAAUCACUGGGCGUAAAGCGCACGUAGGCGGAUCUUUAAGUCAGAGGUGAAAUCCCAAGGCUCAACCUUGGAACUGCCUUUGAUACUGGGGAUCUCGAGUCCGGAAGAGGUUGGUGGAACUCCGAGUGUAGAGGUGAAAUUCGUAGAUAUUCGGAAGAACACCAGUGGCGAAGGCGGCCAACUGGUCCGGUACUGACGCUGAGGUGCGAAAGCGUGGGGAGCAAACAGG